rnacentral:rRNA from 1 species
AGGACGAACGCUGGCGGCGUGCUUAACACAUGCAAGUCGAGCGGAAAGGCCCUUCGGGGUACUCGAGCGGCGAACGGGUGAGUAACACGUGAGCAAUCUGCCCUUAGCUUCGGGAUAGCUCCGGGAAACCGGAAUUAAUACCGAAUAUGACUGUGGUCGACAUCUGCCACGGUGGAAAGUUUUUCGGCUAGGGAUGAGCUCGCGGCCUAUCAGCUUGUUGGUGGGGUAAUGGCCUACCAAGGCGACGACGGGUAGCCGGCCUGAGAGGGCGACCGGCCACACUGGGACUGAGACACGGCCCAGACUCCUACGGGAGGCAGCAGUGGGGAAUAUUGCGCAAUGGGCGAAAGCCUGACGCAGCGACGCCGCGUGGGGGAUGAAGGCCUUCGGUUGUAAACCCCUUUCAGCAGGACGAAGCGAAAGUGACGGUACCUGCAGAAGAAGCGCCGGCUAACUACGUGCCAGCAGCCGC